rnacentral:rRNA from 1 species
GACGAACGCUGGCGGCGUGCCUAAUACAUGCAAGUAGAACGCUGAAGGAGGAGCUUGCUUCUCUGGAUGAGUUGCGAACGGGUGAGUAACGCGUAGGUAACCUGCCUGGUAGCGGGGGAUAACUAUUGGAAACGAUAGCUAAUACCGCAUAAGAGUAGAUGUUGCAUGACAUUUGCUUAAAAGGUGCACUUGCAUCACUACCAGAUGGACCUGCGUUGUAUUAGCUAGUUGGUGAGGUAACGGCUCACCAAGGCGACGAUACAUAGCCGACCUGAGAGGGUGAACGGCCACACUGGGACUGAGACACGGCCCAGACUCCUACGGGAGGCAGCAGUAGGGAAUCUUCGGCAAUGGACGGAAGUCUGACCGAGCAACGCCGCGUGAGUGAAGAAGGUUUUCGGAUCGUAAAGCUCUGUUGUAAGAGAAGAACGAGUGUGAGAGUGGAAAGUUCACACUGUGACGGUAUCUUACCAGAAAGGGACGGCUAACUACGUG